UCUCUCUGAAUCUGCGAACGGCUCCGCAUACCAGUUGUAAACCAUAGCAAGCUAACCGUGCCGCCGCCGCAAGGUGGAUCGGUACGGUUUAGAAGGAUAUCCGUGGUAAUUCUGAGGCUAAUACAAGAACGUAAAACCGGCUUGACCCGCGAGGGGAUGGUCGGCGGUCGUGCAAGCUGAAACACGAGGUGCACAAGGAAUGGCGGCAUGAUCAGACCACCGAAAAAAGACAGUCUCGCGCAAACCCGGCUCAGGUCGGGCGAGUGCGGGUCUGGGUGGCUCUUGCUUCGUGCUUCUGACCUAUCAACUAGAUGGCAGCGUAAGGGACAUGCUAUGGUUACAACGGGUACAGAGGAUAAGGGUUCGAUCCUGGAGAGUGGGCCUGAGAGAUU
rnacentral:rRNA from 1 species